CUCCCCUCUACCCUCCCUCUACCUCCCCUCUACCCUCCCUACCCUCCCUCUACCCUCCCAAUCUCUCUCACAAUAUAUUGUUAUUAUGUUUACUUUUUGUUAAUGAGUUGAUUUGUUAAGAGUGAGAACAUGUCGUCCUGUCAGAGUCAUUCCACUAGACCUAAUAAAGUUAGUGUAAUUGGUAGCUUUUCCCCAGUCUGGUUUAAUGAGGUGAGGGCCGUGGACAGAACGCUGCGUCCGUCAUCAGCCUGUUGUUAAAGGGGAAUCAGGGAAGCAGCGGGCGCAGCCAAACGUCCUCAGGUCACCCAGUUAACCUGGAUCCUACCGUGAAUCCAAAUAGGAUUGCAACAAAUUAAAUAAAAUCCGUGUUUUAGUCGAGCUGAUUACUUCAUUAGGAUCCACAUGAGCUGUUAGCCAUAGCAACAUGUGCUCUUCCUCGGGUCAAAACAGGAUGUCAUGAAAAGGCCCCAGGGGAGAUUUAGGGAAAGUUCAGAGUUUUGUCGACUCUCUAAUCCUGUUUGAAUCCAAGAUGAAACUGGAGAGAUCCCCGGCCAAAGAUGCUGUUUUAAAGUUUAUUCGUCCAUGUCCACAGGGAUACAACAGGUGGAAAACAGUACAGUGGAAAUUCAGAGCUCUUCCCUCAACAAUAAAAUAGAACGACAAGAUAGAAUCAAAAUAACUAGGACGUUAAAGAAAACAACAAUGUAAAUAUAUACAGAGGUCAGUACCUUAUUCAAUGUCCAGGACACCUACUCAUUCAAGGGUUUUUCUUUAUUUUGACUAUUUUCUAGAUUGUAGAAUAAUAGUGAAGACAUCAAAACUAUGAAAUAGCAGAUAUGGAAUCAUGUAGUAACCAAAAAAAGUGUUAAACAAAUCAAAAUAUAUUUUAGUUUUGAGAUUCUUCAAAUUAGCCAGCCUUUGCCUUGAUGACAGCUUUGCGCACUCUUGGCAUUCUCUCAACCAGCUUUAUGAGGUAGUCACCCGGAAUGAGGUCAACCACUGCAGAACCUGAGACGGAGCGGCAUUUCCUGACAAAAUGUAAAAAAUAUAGAACAAUUAGAGCGUGUCAUUUCCUCAAAUUUGAAACCCUUAUUCAAGGUUUCAAAGACCUCUCUGAUGAGGAUAGGCUACCCGUCCUGUUGGGGGAGGAUGCAGAGAGCUGUGGGUUGGCAGCGCACUACAUUGCUGCCUGCCAUAAGAUGAGGGACAAUGUCUGACAGACCAAUCAACCUACACAUGUCCUCUACUGUAUGCUUAUUGUUAUUGUUCAAUGUGUUGGUUAUUUUGACCCUUGAUUAUUGUUGUUACUGUUGUCCCGUUGACAAUUUUGAUUCUUAUUAUUUUCAUAUUGUAAAU
rnacentral:lncRNA from 1 species